GACCUAUUAGCUUAAUUGGUUAAAGCGUUAUCCUAAUAACCCAAAAGUUAUAGGUUCGAUUUCUAUUUGGUCC
rfam:Glycine max cultivar Williams 82 chromosome 13, whole genome shotgun sequence.